GUAGGUGAACCUGCGGAAGGAUCAUUAUCGUACAAAAUGUUUGAGGCAUGCGAGGGCUGUCGCUGACUCGAGGGUCGUGCACGCCGGAGCGUGUCCUCUCACAUAACACAAUCCAUCUCACCCUUUGUGCACCACCGCGUGGGCCCCCUUUGGGGGGCUCGCGUUUUCACACAAAACCCCCCCUUUUAAAAGUGUAGAAUGUCCUCAUUUAUGAAAUCAAUACAACUUUCAACAACGGAUCUCUUGGCUCUCGCAUCGAUGAAGAACGCAGCGAAAUGCGAUACGUAAUGUGAAUUGCAGAAUUCAGUGAAUCAUCGAAUCUUUGAACGCACCUUGCGCCCCUUGGUAUUCCGAGGGGCACACCCGUUUGAGUGUCGUGAAAACCUCAACCUCCUUGGUUUCUUCUGGAGACCAAAGGAGGCUUGGACUUUGGAGGCCUUUGCUGGCAUCUCUGUCAGCUCCUCUCAAAUGAAUUAGUGGGGUCCUCUUUGCCGAUCCUUGACAUGUGAUAAGAUGCUUCCGUGUCUCGGUUUCUGGCUCUGUUGCCUUUGGGACCCGCUUCUAACCGUCUAGGUCGAGACAAUGUUCGAGCUCGUCUCCCUUCUCGGGAAACGUUCUCGACCCCACGAACCCUUGGCCUCAAAUCGGGUGAGACUACCCGCUGAACUUAAGCAUAUCAAUAAGCGGA
rnacentral:rRNA from 1 species